UACAGAGGGGGCAAGCGUUGUUCGGAAUUACUGGGCGUAAAGGGCGCGUAGGCGGCCUUCUAAGUCGAACGUGAAAUCCCUGGGCUCAACCCAGGAACUGCGUCCGAUACUGGGAGGCUUGAAUCCGGGAGAGGGAUGCGGAAUUCCAGGUGUAGCGGUGAAAUGCGUAGAUAUCUGGAGGAACACCGGUGGCGAAGGCGGCAUCCUGGACCGGCAUUGACGCUGAGGCGCGAAAGCCAGGGGAGCAAACAGG
rnacentral:rRNA from 1 species